UACGUAGGGGGCCAGCGUUGCUCGGAAUUACUGGGCGUAAAGGGUCCGUAGGCGGUGCGGCAAGUCGGAAGUGAAAUCUCGAGGCUUAACUUCGAGGCUGCUCCCGAAACUGCCGUGCUCGAGUGCGAGAGAGGCGAGUGGAAUUGCAGGUGUAGCGGUGAAAUGCGUAGAGAUCUGCAGGAACACCCGAAGCGAAAGCGGCUCGCUGGAUCGCAACUGACGCUGAGGGACGAAAGCUAGGGGAGCAAACAG
rnacentral:rRNA from 1 species